rfam:Morus notabilis contig11998, whole genome shotgun sequence.
UAUCCAUGUUGCAGGCAUUUUCUGAGCAACUCCUUGAAAUGCUCCCAGGCCUCAUAGAGAGGCUCAAAGUCCAUCUGUCUGAAUUGCACAAUCUCACUCCUCAGAUG